GUCGGUCUGGCUGAAGGGGGUGGCCCGGUCGUUCGUGACGACCGCGGACGAACUCGCGGGAUCCUUCGCGGGGUCGAGG
rnacentral:tRNA from 1 species